CCUACGGGUGGCUGCAGUGAGGAAUAUUGGUCAAUGGGCGCGAGCCUGAACCAGCCAAGUAGCGUGCAGGAUGACUGCCCUACGGGUUGUAAACUUCUUUUAUAAAGGAAUAAAGUGAGGCACGUGUACCUUUUUGUAUGUACUUUAUGAAUAAGGAUCGGCUAACUCCGUGCCAGCAGCCGCGGUAAUACGGAGGGUCCGGGCGUUAUCCGGAUUUAUUGGGUUUAAAGGGAGCGUAGAUGGGUUGUUAAGUCAGUUGUGAAAGUUUGCGGCUCAACUGGAACAUUGCAACUGAUACUGGCAGGCUUGAGUACAGUUGAGGCAGGCGGAAUUCGUGGUGUAGCGGUGAAAUGCUUAGAUAUCACGAAGAACUCCGAUUGCGAAGGCAGCUUACUAAAGCGGCACUGACAUUGAUGCUCGAAAGUGUGGGUAUCGAACAGGAUUAGAUACCCGAGUAGUC
rnacentral:rRNA from 1 species